CUGAAAACGCUCUUGCCAAGUUUGAAUGCGACAACAGUUAAAAAGGACAGAACAUGGACACAAUGCAAUUGGGAUCAAGAAGAAGAUCUUCUCAGAAAUGAAUCAAGGCCAUGGAAUGGACAUAGACGAAAAGACCAUUCAAGGACUCCGCAAGGCUAGUUGGCAAAAUUAUAGCAGAGGUAGAGAGGCGAGGCAGGGGUGAGGACAUCAUCCAGCUAUUUCGGCAAUCCCUGAAGGACAAUACAGAAGAGACACACAGGGGUAUUUGCUCUUUUUCCUUCCCUUUCUCUAAUGUAGCCAAUACAUAGUACAUAAAAAAUGUAUUUUGUAAUAAAAUUAGCAAUUGUAGUAAGAUCAUUGCUUUACUUAAUUGGACUCAAGACCACAGCAGCGAUCCUGCUCUUGCCAUACCUCUUCAAUGAGGACCCGAGUGGCCUUUAUGUCCAUGACAAGAUUUCAUCGCUCCCCACUCCUUUACUGCACAUCGGCGGAAAUCCAUUUCACCAUAAGAGUGAAAUCACGCUGGCCUUUUAUGGGAAGAACAUCCACACCCUAAAGGACGUCCCCAUGGGACUCUGGGCUCUGUUCGGACUGUAUUUUUUAUUUUCAGUUACAUUACCCCCCCCCAAAAUUAAGAAAAAGACUUAAGUUUUUAAGUUACUUUUACUAGGGCCGGUCAUUGUCACACCCUGACCGUAGAGAGCCCUUGGUUCUCUAUGGUGUUGAGGUCAGAGCGUGACUAGGGGGGUGUUCUAGUUUUUAUAUUUCUAUGUUGGUGUGCUUGGUAUGGUUCCCAAUUAGAGACAGCUGGUAAUCGUUGCCUCUAAUUGGGGAUCAUAUUUAGGUAGCCUUUUUCCCCAUCUGUGUUUUGUGGGAUAUUGUUGGUGUGUGUGCUAGUUGCACCACCUAUGUUACGUUUUGUUCCAAGUUUCACAAAAUAAAAUAUGUGGAACUCAGAGCACGCUGCACCUUAGUCCGUCUCUCCUCACGUUCAAGACAGUAAUAAAGAUGGAAAACGUCCUAAUUUAACUAAGUGGUUGUUGGGCACGAGUACUGCAGGCAAUGUGUUGAUCAAAUCAAAUGAUGUCACAUGCGCUGAAUACAACAGGUACCUUACAGUGAAAUGCUUACUUAGCC